UAAUGAGUCGUCCACAAGAACCACACCGACCGUUCUUCCAUUUCGGAAAUCCCUUUAAGAUGAUUGCACCAAAGGGUUCCCAGCUGUCUCCAAGGCUUCUUGGACUGUUGAACACUUUUGAGGAAACAUUAGCUGGGAGGCUAAGAAAGCUUAACCCAAAAGACAAGGAUGAUGUCCUCAGCUUGUCAUGGAUGAAAUUAGCUAUGGAGUCUCUCUGUGGAACUCAUAAUGACAUAAAAUCUCUCAUAGCUGAAAUCGAUCUCCCUGUGAGUAACUGGGAUGAGAAAUGGAUUGAUGUGUACUUGGACAUCAGUGUGAAGUUGCUCGAUGUAUGCAUUGCUUUUAGCUCUGAGAUCUCACGUUUAAACCAGGGGCAUCUUUAUCUUCAAUGCGUCUUGCAUAAUUUGGAUUCAACUUCUUCGGACCAAUUUAUUCGGGCCCGUUCUUCACUUGAUGGAUGGAGGCAUCAUAUUGGUUCAACAAACCCCAGAGUUGAGAACUGUAGCACCAUUUUGGACAAGCUUGUGGAAUCCCUUGACCUUCCGAAGGUUAAGAACUCAGCAAAAGGGAAACUUUUGAUGCGUGCUAUGUAUGGAGUUAAGGUGUUGACAGUAUCUGUUUGUAGUGUCUUUGCUGCCGCCUUUUCUGGUUCCGCAAAGAAGUUGUUAGACUUGAAUGUUGCAGAGACAUAUUUGUGGGCACAAGCGUUUAACGAUUUAC
rnacentral:lncRNA from 1 species